UGGAGUGUAGUUCAGCGGUAGAACGAGUGGCUGUUAACCACUGUGUCGUAGGUUCGAUUCCUACCAUUCCAG
rnacentral:tRNA from 1 species